CCAAUGCAUGAGAAGCCAACCAAUCAGCAGCUUGAUUGGCUUCAUGAAAAAUAUGCGAGACAGUACAAGUUGAGAGCGAGAAGAGCCGCAUUUUAAUAUCUUGGAGCCAAGGAGAACAAUGUAGAUGAAAACUAGUCGUUUGCUUUAUCCAGGAAAUGACCACUGAUGAGUCACCCUGUAACCAAAUGGCCUGAGAAGGAA
rnacentral:lncRNA from 1 species